GUUACAGUAAUUAUAGGCAAAUGUUAUAUGAGGAUAAAACAAAAAAGAAGUAAAUGAAAUUUGAUUUCUAUUGAAGUAUUGUUUGUAUCGACUAAAUACAUCACAUAAUUACAGUAGUAACAAAAAAAUUGAGAGUAUAGUUGCUCAAGUCACAAUUCAAAUUACCAUAGUAAAAACAAAAGGAAGGAAAUUACAAUCAAAUUUUCACAAUUACAUCCAAUUAUGCACAUAGUCACCAAUUACACGAUACAUUCCACUCACCCCAAAUCCCAUGAAAUUAGGGAUUGAAUUCCUCCACCCCAAUGGAUUUCUCCCUACAUGGGUUGGAAUCACACAAUUCCUCACUCACCAAAUUCCUCUACCCCAACCAUAAAUCCCACUCUAUAAAUAACUACCUAAGCAUAUACAUAGCAACAACUAAGAACAACAUUGAGUAAAAUUCUUCAGACAUCCAAAAACUUUCUCCAAAACCUCUCAACAGAGCUCUUACUCUCCAAGCUUAUUUAGAGCUCAAUAUCAAAGCUCUAAGAUAGUUGAGCUUGAACCCUUCGUUCUUUACUCAGUGUAGGCAUUAUGUUUGGAGGAACAUAAGAAGAAGAAGAAGCAUAAAGGUCAGGAAUUAGAAGUUGUAAGAAGAGGAAGAAAGAGAUAAAGCAUAACCAAUACCUAAUCCUUGAAGAUUCUGGCCUUCAUUAUUGGGUAUACUUUGUUUUAUUUCAUUGUUCUUCUUCUUUUUAAGGAUUUUUGUUUGAUUCCCUCUUCAAUAUACGUGUAAUAUUGAAAAUAUUGGAUUGAGGCUCUAACAUAGUAUAAGAGGGUGGGGUUUUUUAUUCGUAUUUUGUUGGAUUUAUAUUGUUGUUGUUGUUGUUGUUGUGUUUUUUGGACUGAAUAAUGAUUAUGGUAAGAGUGAAUAGAGUUAUUGUUUGCUUGUUUCGAUUUCUGGGAAGAUUUGGGGUUAGGGUUUCAAAUCUUUAAGGUUUCAAUUUGUUUGGAUUUCAUGGGCUUUUGGUGAAAUCGAUAACAAAUUUGAGGUGAGUGAGGAAAGAUAUGUAGGGUUUGUGUUUGGUUUGAAUUGAUUUGGGUGAGUUUUUUGGGUUUCUAGAAAGGAGAUUAAGGACAUCCAUCGUGUUCUUCAUCUCUGCUGCCCCAACCACUAUGGUUGAUUCAUUUCCAGUUAGGUGUGCGUAUUUUAGGUUCUUUGUGGAUGGAGAAUUUGGAGAAAGGGCUGAGAGGUUGAAAGAGAAGAGAGAGAAAUAUUUGUCCCAAAUGAAUCUCUCUUGUGUGAGGGCUCUUUUUAGAGCUUCCCCGUGAUCCCUUGAAU
rnacentral:lncRNA from 1 species